CAGUCGCCACGGGAAUACAGAGGGUGCGAGCGUUAAUCGGAUUUACUGGGCGUAAAGCGUGCGUAGGCGGCUUCUUAAGUCGGAUGUGAAAUCCCUGAGCUUAACUUAGGAAUUGCAUUCGAUACUGGGAAGCUAGAGUAUGGGAGAGGAUGGUAGAAUUCCAGGUGUAGCGGUGAAAUGCGUAGAGAUCUGGAGGAAUACCGAUGGCGAAGGCAGCCAUCUGGCCUAAUACUGACGCUGAGGUACGAAAGCAUGGGGAGCAAACAGGAUUAGAUACCCCUGUAGUCCCUGUCUCUUAUAA
rnacentral:rRNA from 1 species